GCCUGGGUGGCUCAGUGGUUGAGCACCUGGCUUUGGCCCAGGGCGUGAUCCUGGAGUCCCGGGAUCGAGUCCCACAUCGGGCU
rnacentral:tRNA from 1 species